GUCUCAGUGGCGCAAUGGUAGCGCGUUGGACUUCUACCCAUUCUACUUCGAAAUACAAGCCAGAAAUAGAUAUCCAAAGGCUGUGGGUUCGAGCCCCACCUGAGAUG